UACGAAGGGGGCUAGCGUUGUUCGGAUUUACUGGGCGUAAAGCGCACGUAGGCGGAUCGUUAAGUCGGGGGUGAAAUCCUGGAGCUCAACUCCAGAACUGCCUUCGAAACUGGCGAGCUUGAGUGCCGGAGAGGGUCGCGGAAUUCCCGGUGUAGAGGUGAAAUUCGUAGAUAUCGGGAGGAACACCGGUGGCGAAGGCGGCGACCUGGGACAAUACUGACGCUGAGGUGCGAAAGCGUGGGGAGCAAACAGG
rnacentral:rRNA from 1 species